rnacentral:rRNA from 1 species
AUUGAACGCUGGCGGCAUGCCUUACACAUGCAAGUCGAGCGGCAGCGCGGGGGCAACCCUGGCGGCGAGCGGCGGACGGGUGAGUAAUACAUCGGAACGUGUCCUUUUGUGGGGGAUAACCAGUCGAAAGACUGGCUAAUACCGCAUGAGAUCUCACGAUGAAAGCGGGGGACCCUGGGGGUAACUUCGGGGCCUCGCGCGAUUGGAGCGGCCGAUGUCGGAUUAGCUAGUUGGCGGGGUAAGAGCCCACCAAGGCUACGAUCCGUAGCUGGUUUGAGAGAACGACCAGCCACACUGGGACUGAGACACGGCCCAGACUCCUACGGGAGGCAGCAGUGGGGAAUUUUGGACAAUGGGGGCAACCCUGAUCCAGCCAUGCCGCGUGUGUGAAGAAGGCCUUCGGGUUGUAAAGCACUUUCGGCCGGAACGAAAUCGCGCGGAUUAAUAACCCGCGUGGAUGACGGUACCGGAAGAAGAAGCACCGGCUAACUACGUGCCAGCCGCCGCAGUAA